GAGUGCUCAAAGCAGGCCUACGCUUGUAUACAUUAGCAUGGGAUAACAUCAUAGGAUUUUGAUCCUAUUGUGUUAGCCUUUGGGAUCGGAGUAAUGAUUAAUAGGGACAGUCGGGGGCAUUUGUAUUUCAUAGUCAGAGGUGAAAUUCUUGGAUUUAUGAAAGACGAAUAGCAGCGAAAGCAUUUGCCAAGGAUGUUUUCAUUAAUCAAGAACGAAAGUUGGGGGCUCGAAGACGAUCAGAUAUCGU
rnacentral:ncRNA from 1 species